GACGAACGCUGGCGGCGUGCCUAAUACAUGCAAGUCGAGCGGACUUUCAAGAAGCUUGCUUUUUGAAAGUUAGCGGCGGACGGGUGAGUAACACGUGGGCAACCUGCCUGCAAGACGGGGAUAACUCCGGGAAACCGGGGCUAAUACCGGAUAAUAUCUUCCUUCGCAUGAAGGAAGGUUGAAAGGCGGCGCAAGCUGCCGCUUGCAGAUGGGCCCGCGGCGCAUUGGCUAGUUGGUGAGGUAACGGCGCACCAAGGCGAGGAUGCGUAGCGGACCAGAGAGGGGGAUCGGCCACACUGGGACUGGGACACGGCCCAGACCCCUACGGGAGGCAGCAGUAGGGAAUCUUCCGCAAUGGACGAAAGUCUGACGGAGCAACGCCGCGUGAGCGAAGAAGGUCUUCGGAUCGUAAAGCUCUGUUGUCAGGGAAGAACAAGUACCGUUCGAACAGGGCGGUACCUUGACGGUACCUGACCAGAAAGCCACGGCUAACUACGUG
rnacentral:rRNA from 1 species